AGAAUGAACGCUGGCGGCGUGCUUUACACAUGCAAGUUGAGCGAGGCCACCCGCAAGGGUGAGUCGAGCGGCGAACGGGUGAGUAACGCGUGGAUAACCUGCCCUGAGGUGGGGAAUAACCCGGGGGAAACUCGGGCUAAUACCGCAUGAUACCAAGCGGUCAAAGAGGGCUCGCAAGAGCUCUUGCCACAGGAGGGGUCCGCGUUCGAUUAGCUAGUUGGUAGGUAAUGGCCUACCAAGGCGACGAUCGAUAGCCGGCCUGAGAGGGUGAUCGGCCACACUGGAACUGAGACACGGUCCAGACUCCUACGGGAGGCAGCACGGUGGGAAUUUGACGCAAUGGGCUAACGCCUGACGCAGCAACGCCGCGGUGGAGGAUGGAAGUCUUUGGAUUGUAAACUCCUGACAGACGAAGGAAAAGGAGGAACCUAAUACGUUCC
rnacentral:rRNA from 1 species